rnacentral:rRNA from 1 species
GACAGUGGGGGCGAGCGUUGUGCGGAGUCACUGGGCGUAAAGCGCGCGCAGGCGGCAACCUAAGGGUCGUGUGAGAGCCCCCGGCUCAACCGGGGGAGGCCAUGGCAAACUGGGUCGCUCGAGCUGCGGAGAGGCCCCUCGAAUUGCCGGUGUAGCGGUGAAAUGCGUAGAGAUCGGCAGGAAGACCAAGGGGGAAGCCAGGGGGCUGGCCGCAGGCUGACGCUGAGGCGCGACAGCGUGGGGAGCAAACCGG